rnacentral:rRNA from 1 species
GGGAAGAAAAGGCUGUUGCUAAUAUCGACAGCUGAUGACGGUACCUGAAGAAUAAGCACCGGCUAACUACGUGCCAGCAGCCGCGGUAAUACGUAGGGUGCGAGCGUUAAUCGGAAUUACUGGGCGUAAAGCGCGCGUAGGUGGUUUGUUAAGCGGAAUGUGAAAGCCCCGGGCUCAACCUGGGAACUGCAUUGCGAACUGGCAGACUAGAGUACAGUAGAGGGUAGUGGAAUUUCCUGUGUAGCGGUGAAAUGCG